CACUUUUGCUUGAGGUUAUUUUUAUAUAAGCUUUAAUAAUGUUACCCAUGUGAUUUAUGAGCAUUGAAAGUGAUAUUUAUGUGUUUUUAUGUAUGGGUUUUGUAUUGGUGGAAUUAUUUGAUGAGUGGGUAUAUAUUUUGUGCUAUUGAUGACUACUUAAGGUCAACCACUCAUUUCCACACUAUCCAUUCUCUCUUGGCCGGCUCUUUCACUUCACUUCUUUUCUUUCUUUUUUUUCAUUCUCUCAUACGCUCCUCUCUACUCUCAUCUUCUCCACCGGCACUUCCACACCACCACCACCAUUUCCACCAUCAUUUUCUGGCAAGAUAACUGGAAAUUUUUUUGGGAACCCAUAAACAUCUUCACAUCCUUUUUUUGAGGUUCUAGCUAAUUUCCUUGGAGCUUGGAGAAUUAGGAUUUUGCGAUUGUAAGGUAAGUAGCUUUUUAAUGGGUAUUUUUGGAAAAUAACCAUGUCUUAUAAAUAUUGUUUUUGAGUCAAACACAUUUUGGAAAAUGAUAUAUAUGGAUAUAUGCUUUCUUAAAUGUAUUGUGUUGUGACCCUUACUAUAUAUGAAAAAUGCAUCAUAUUUGGUAUUGCAUUUGGGGAAAUGCAUGAAUUGUUGAUAUGGAAAAAUGAGCAUCAUUUAUUUAAUCUUUGAUAAGAAAAUCAUUGAUUUUAUGGUGUAUUGAAAAAUUUAAAGAUGCUUAUCUUGUCUUGUAUUAUUUGAGAAAUUGUUAGAAAAUCUUUUGACAAGAAUGAAAUUUGAAAACCUUACAAACUUUGUAGAAGUUAGAUUAUUUAAGGUUUUCUAAAACUACUUGGAUAUGAACUAUGUGUUUCAAAGUAAGGUAACCUGUGAGUUUAUGUGAUUUUAGCCCUAUGCCAUGUGUGAUUUCUCGGUGAUCACCCGAUUUGGUUUCAGUAGUCUUUGUGACAACGGAAUCAAAUCCAGGUCAGUGUCCUUUCACUUUGGAUGAUGCGUUCUUCCCUGCUGUCCAUGGGGGGAAGAGGUUCCUUGAUUGUGUGUGGGUGAGGUUGUUGCCCAUGGGGCCAAGAGACCACAUGCAAGAGAGGUCCUAUUUGACGCGCUCUCUCUGCUGCCCAUGGGGGGAGAGAAAAACCUUGAGGGUAUGGGUGAGGUUGCUAUCCAUAAGGCCAAGAGUCUGCAUACCAAAGAGGAUAAUAUCAUGCCAGUUGUGAAUGGGUGGAUCCCCUGACCAGUUUAUGUGGUAGUGUGGCAGAUUUGUGAUAAUUUAUCUUAUGUUAGAUAUUAUGGUUUUAGAAAUUAUAUUGUUGAUGCUCACAUAUUAUAGUAUAUAGUUUCAAGGUAUUUACUUUGAGAAACUUUGUGUUUCAUUAUGUAAUCAUUCUUGUCAUAUUAUUAUUAUUGAAGAUGAAACUUGCAUUUCCCCCCCUCCCAUUAAAUAUGCUACUUACUGGGCUCUGUCUCAUUCCAUUAUUUUAUAAACUUUUCAGAGUAGGCAACAAUCUUUUGAGACAGCUUUUUGGGUGGCUAAUAGUAGUUAGACUAACUACUGAUUGAUGCUGAACUUUUGUAAUGGAUAUAUUAGAUGGUGUACAUUUUAGACUAGGUUUGACUCAUUCUUUUAUGUAUUAUAGUGGUUAUGACUAUAUUCCUACUAAUGGGACAAGCUGUUGAUAUGUAAUUGUUUAUUCAGACCUCUAUUCUUUUGUGGCCAAUGGUCCUUGUAAUUAAUGCUUAAAGCUCUCACUUACUUUGUGAGUAUAUUCUAUGGGAUUAUUAUGAUAA